rnacentral:rRNA from 1 species
UACGAAGGGGGCUAGCGUUGCUCGGAAUCACUGGGCGUAAAGCGUGCGCAGGCGGUUUUGUAAGUCUGACGUGAAAUCCCCGGGCUCAACCUGGGAAUUGCGUUGGAGACUGCAAGGCUGGAGUCUGGCAGAGGGGGGUAGAAUUCCACGUGUAGCAGUGAAAUGCGUAGAGAUGUGGAGGAACACCGAUGGCGAAGGCAGCCCCCUGGGUCAAGACUGACGCUCAUGCACGAAAGCGUGGGGAGCAAACAGG